rfam:Nematostella vectensis strain CH2 x CH6 NEMVEscaffold_74_Cont10384, whole genome shotgun sequence.
UGGGAGCAAGACACAGAGGUCAUCAGGUAAGCCCAAAGGUGGCCUCUCACUAAUGCUCCCUAGAUCAAACGCCCUCUGAUGACUGUGGGCGCUUAAGAAAUGCUCCAUGGACAGAUACGGGGCGAACAUGA